rnacentral:misc_RNA from 1 species
CCAAUAGCGUAUAUUAAAGUUGUUGCAGUUAAAAAGCUCGUAGUUGAACUUCGGGGUUUACCCAUUGGUCAGGCUUAAUUGUCUGUACUGGUGAGAUAAAUCUCUACCUUCUGAGGAACUUUCAUGCCAUUUAGUUGGUGUGAUAGGAAAUCAGGACUGUUACUUUGAAAAAAUUAGAGUGUUUAAAGCAGGCUAACGUCUGAAUACAUUAGCAUGGAAUAAUGAAAUAGGACGGCAUGAUUCUAUUUUGUUGGUUUCUAGGAUCACCGUAAUGAUUAAUAAGGAUAGUUGGGGGCAUUAGUAUUCAAUUGUCAGAGGUGAAAUUCUUGGAUUUAUUGAAGACUAACUACUGCGAAAGCAUUUGCCAAGGAUGUUUUCAUUAAUCAAGAACGAAAGUUAGGGGAUCGAAGACGAUCAGAUACCGUCGUAGUCUUAACCAUAAACUAUGCCGACUAGGAAUCAGACGAUGUUAAUUUUUUAAUGACUCGUUUGGCACCUUACG